CGUCAUGGGGGUGUCACUUCCUCAAUCUCUUGGCAGGCAAUUUUCCAUAAAUAUGAGCGGUCUGUUCAGAGGCAGACAAGCACGCUUGGCCUAUACUUUGGCGUCUUCCGACUUCUUGGCUGCAGCUGUUGUCGUCCCUCUGGCUCGAGUCUCUUUCACUUGGGCACUCACUUUGUCCGAACUCCGGUUGCCUACGGUGCUCAACCUUUACCUGUUUCUACUGGUGGCUUCCUGGUAGGCUGCCACAGUUCUACUUGCGUUAUUCACUCCGACUGCCCACGGCACUCAACCUUUACCUGCUC